rnacentral:rRNA from 1 species
UGUGGAAACGCCACGCUUAACGUUGCGCGUGCAGUGGGUACGGGCUGACUAGAGUGCAGUAGGGGAGUCUGGAAUUCCUGGUGUAGCGGUGAAAUGCGCAGAUAUCAGGAGGAACACCGGUGGCGAAGGCGGCACUCUGGGCUGUAACUGACACUGAGGAGCGAAAGCAUGGGGAGCGAACAGGAUUAAAUACCCUGGUAGUCCAUGCCGUAAACGUUGGGCACUAGGUGUGGGGGGCAUUCCACGUUCUCCGCGCCGUAGCUAACGCAUUAAGUGCCCCGCCUGGGGAGUACGGCCGCAAGGCUAAAACUCAAAGGAAUUGACGGGGGCCCGCACAAGCGGCGGAGCAUGCGGAUUAAUUCGAUGCAACGCAAAGAACCUUACCAAGGCUUGACAUACACCAGACCGUCCUGGAAACAGGUCCUCUUCUUUGAAGCUGGUGUACAGGUGGUGCAUGGUUGUCGUCAGCUCGUGUCGUGAUAUGUUGGGUUAAGUCCCGCAACGAGCGCA